rnacentral:rRNA from 1 species
GACGUAGGGCGCGAGCGUUGUCCGGAUUUAUUGGGCGUAAAGAGCUCGUAGGCGCUUGUCGCGUCGACUGUGAAAACCCGUGGCUCAACUGCGGGCCUGCAGUCGAUACGGGCAGACUAGAGUUCGGCAGGGGAGACUGGAAUUCCUGGUGUAGCGGUGAAAUGCGCAGAUAUCAGGAGGAACACCAAUGGCGAAGGCAGCACUCUGGUACGUGACUGACGCUGAGACGCGAAAGCGUGGGUAGCAAACAGG